AACACUCAGUUCCUGCUACAACCUUUUUAUAUAUUGACCUGCCAUACCUUUUAUAGUAACGACUUUCAGGUGAGUAAGACCCGUCUCUCCCUCUGUAAUAAGGCGAAUAAGACCGAUCUCUUCCCCUGUAGUAAGGUGAGUAUGAUCUGUCACGUGCUCUGUAGUCAGGCGAGUAUGACCUGGACCUAUACCGCCUCCUGUAGUAAGGUGAGUAUGAUCUGUCACGUGCUCUGUAGUCAGGAGAGUAAGACCUGGACCUGGACCUGUACCGCCGCCUGAAAUAAGGUGAUUCCGAUCUGUCACGUCUCCUGUAGUAACGAUCAUCAGGUGAUGGAGAUCUAGAAUAAG
rnacentral:lncRNA from 1 species